CUCAAGAUAACAAAUGCGAAUUUUAAACACAAUGUCUUGCAUGCUGCAUGUGGUGACUGGUUGACGGUUGAGUUUUGCAUGCAUCUCGUGUAACUCCAGCGGGUUACACGAGAGAGCAGAGCUGCAUUUGCGGCACCCUAAACGACAAUCUAUCAGCAUUCCUAUUGGAUGCCAAAGUAUUUACUUUGGACACGAGACGGGGGCUCUGUGAAGGACUGGCUCUAAUUAGGGGCAGCUAGUCGGGAGGUCAUGGGCAGUUGGACUAGGCCUCAGAGAUACACAGUCCUCAGUCAGAAGGCUGCAGUCUAGUUAAGACUUAAGUUGUUUUUGGGAGCAUGCAACAAGGUGUCAGCUUGGCAUCAAUGGAAGUGGCCGUACUGUGGUUUGUUUCUGUUUUUAGGUGCCACGGUCUUCCUCAUCACCGCUUUUAGCACUGCAGCUAAUCGGUGCCAACAAAAAUAGAUCCCGUUCCUGGACUGGCAGCCAACAGCAUGUGAAUUAGCAUCAUGCCUAGAAAGAAACGCACACGUUGUGCCUUUUUUCCUGAAUAUAUUAGAAAAAUCCGCAAACAGGUGAAUCCUUGAAUGCUGAACUGCGAAUUGGCGUGGAUCCACUGCAGUAUUUAUUUAUUUUUGUUCUCUCCUGUUCUGAAUUGGUGCUAAUCUUAAAGAUGAGCUUAUUCAUUACCGGUGUUCAUUUAAAAUGUAUUUAACUCAUCCCAGUUCACUGACACAUGCCCAAUCCCAUUUACAUCAAAAGUCUGAACUCAGAUCAGGAAUGACAUGACACCCAACCCUAAAGCGCCGGUGUAAAGAUACAUCCAGCGGACGAGAUCAGACAUGACUUCCCUGAUAAUUUUGGUGAAACUAACAAUCGACCCCCCUUUUAUUUUUUGUUUUAACAAACAGGUUUCACAAAUCAUAAACUG